UGCUUAUAAUAUUAUUUUAAGUAAAAUCUGCUCCAUGUAUUAUAAAUAGCCGCAGUACUUUACUGUGCUAAGGUAGCAUAAUCAUUAACCUUUUAAUUAAAGGCUAGAAUGAACGAUUUUACAUUUAAUUAUUUUUUCUUUUACAACAAUUUAAUUUAUACUAAGUAUAAAAAUAUACUUAUAAAAAAAAAAGACGAUAAGACCCUAUUGAACUUCACUUUAGUUUAGCUGGGGAAGCUAAUUAAAAACUAUUUUAAUCUUACUUAUUUUAAAAUAAACCAAUAAAAUUGAUUUUAAUAAGUUACCAUAGGGAUAACAGCGUAAUAUUUUUUAAAAGCUCUUAUUUAAAAAAAAGAUUGCGACCUCGAUGUUGAAUUAAUUUAACUUUAAGACGCAACUGCAUUAAAAGUAGGUCUGUUCGACCUUUAAAUAUUUACA
rnacentral:rRNA from 1 species